AACCGUAUAGGGGAGCCGGAGGGAAACCGAGUCUUAAUUGGGCGUUAAGUUGCAGGGUAUAGACCCGAAACCCGGUGAUCUAGCCAUGGGCAGGUUGAAGGUUGGGUAACACUAACUGGAGGACCGAACCGACUAAUGUUGAAAAAUUAGCGGAUGACCUGUGGCUGGGGGUGAAAGGCCAAUCAAACCGGGAGAUAGCUGGUUCUCCCCGAAAGCUAUUUAGGUAGCGCCUCGUGAAUUCAUCUCCGGGGGUAGAGCACUGUUUCGGCUAGGGGGCCAUCCCGGCUUACCAACCCGAUGCAAACUGCGAAUACCGGAGAAUGUUAUCACGGGAGACACACGGCGGGUGCUAACGUCCGUCGUGAAGAGGGAAACAACCCAGACCGCCAGCUAAGGUCCCAAAGUCAUGGUUAAGUGGGAAACGAUGUGGGAAGGCCCAGACAGCCAGGAUGUUGGCUUAGAAGCAGCCAUCAUUUAAAGAAAGCGUAAUAGCUCACUGGUCGAGUCGGCCUGCGCGGAAGAUGUAACGGGGCUAAACCAUGCACCGAAGCUGCGGCAGCGAACGUAUCACCCAAGACAACUUUACGGAGUUGACGAUUGACGGAGCGAAGCGACGUCAAAGCGUUCAUUAAAGUCGAGUUGGCUUAGGGAUACGUUCGUUGGGUAGGGGAGCGUUCUGUAAGCCUGUGAAGGUGUGUCGUGAGGCAUGCUGGAGGUAUCAGAAGUGCGAAUGCUGACAUAAGUAACGAUAAAGCGGGUGAAAAGCCCGCUCGCCGGAAGACCAAGGGUUCCUGUCCAACGUUAAUCGGGGCAGGGUGAGUCGACCCCUAAGGCGAGGCCGAAAGGCGUAGUCGAUGGGAAACGGGUUAAUAUUCCCGUACUUGGUGUUACUGCGAAGGGGGGACGGAGAAGGCUAUGUUGGCCGGGCGACGGUUGUCCCGGUUUAAGCGUGUAGGUGUGUGUUCCAGGUAAAUCCGGUUCACUUUAACACUGAGGCGUGACGACGAGGCACUACGGUGCUGAAGCAACAAAUGCCCUGCUUCCAGGAAAAGCCUCUAAGCAUCAGGUAACAUCAAAUCGUACCCCAAACCGACACAGGUGGUCAGGUAGAGAAUACCAAGGCGCUUGAGAGAACUCGGGUGAAGGAACUAGGCAAAAUGGUGCCGUAACUUCGGGAGAAGGCACGCUGACACGUAGGUGAAGUGAUUUACUCAUGGAGCUGAAGUCAGUCGAAGAUACCAGCUGGCUGCAACUGUUUAUUAAAAACACAGCACUGUGCAAACACGAAAGUGGACGUAUACGGUGUGACGCCUGCCCGGUGCCGGAAGGUUAAUUGAUGGGGUCAGCGCAAGCGAAGCUCCUGAUCGAAGCCCCGGUAAACGGCGGCCGUAACUAUAACGGUCCUAAGGUAGCGAAAUUCCUUGUCGGGUAAGUUCCGACCUGCACGAAUGGCGUAAUGAUGGCCAGGCUGUCUCCACCCGAGACUCAGUGAAAUUGAACUCGCUGUGAAGAUGCAGUGUACCCGCGGCAAGACGGAAAGACCCCGUGAACCUUUACUAUAGCUUGACACUGAACAUUGAGCCUUGAUGUGUAGGAUAGGUGGGAGGCUUUGAAGUGUGGACGCCAGUCUGCAUGGAGCCGACCUUGAAAUACCACCCUUUAAUGUUUGAUGUUCUAACGUGGACCCGUAAUCCGGGUUGCGGACAGUGUCUGGUGGGUAGUUUGACUGGGGCGGUCUCCUCCUAAAGAGUAACGGAGGAGCACGAAGGUUGGCUAAUCCUGGUCGGACAUCAGGAGGUUAGUGCAAUGGCAUAAGCCAGCUUGACUGCGAGCGUGACGGCGCGAGCAGGUGCGAAAGCAGGUCAUAGUGAUCCGGUGGUUCUGAAUGGAAGGGCCAUCGCUCAACGGAUAAAAGGUACUCCGGGGAUAACAGGCUGAUACCGCCCAAGAGUUCAUAUCGACGGCGGUGUUUGGCACCUCGAUGUCGGCUCAUCACAUCCUGGGGCUGAAGUAGGUCCCAAGGGUAUGGCUGUUCGCCAUUUAAAGUGGUACGCGAGCUGGGUUUAGAACGUCGUGAGACAGUUCGGUCCCUAUCUGCCGUGGGCGCUGGAGAACUGAGGGGGGCUGCUCCUAGUACGAGAGGACCGGAGUGGACGCAUCACUGGUGUUCGGGUUGUCAUGCCAAUGGCACUGCCCGGUAGCUAAAUGCGGAAGAGAUAAGUGCUGAAAGCAUCUAAGCACGAAACUUGCCCCGAGAUGAGUUCUCCCUGAGACUUAGAGUCUCCUGAAGGAACGUUGAAGACGACGACGUUGAUAGGCCGGGUGUGUAAGCGCAGCGAUGCGUUGAGCUAACCGGUACUAAUGAACCGUGAGGCUUAACCUUACA
rnacentral:rRNA from 1 species